GCUAACUCCUUGUGGCAUUGUGAGCUUUUAGUAAACAGAGAGCGUUCAAUGCACUAAGGAUUUUUAGUAAUGCAAGAAGUGUUGGAGUGUUGGAAAGAAGCUUAGCUGAAGUUUCUGCCCACUGGGACUUGAUUAGCAUAGCUAGCUUUGGUCAAAUUAGUGUUUAAGGGUGUGAAUCACCAGGUAGAAAUUAAGCAGAGCGCUCGAAGGUAAUGCAUUGAGGAUUAUCGCCGAGUGAAGGUUGCGAUGGAAACAGACGGGCAUAUGGUCUGACGACAGCUGCCAAAUAUUAUGCAAUAUUAAUGGACUGUCUAUACAUCAAUGUGGUAUCCUGCGAGACCAUUUUAGCAUGAAAUCAAUGCUGAUUAUCCAGAAGAUCCACAUGUGCCAGCAGCUGUGGGCUUGUGACUCAUUUGUCAGCAUGCUGGAGUACCUUCUGGCCGUGGGCAAUUACCUCAACCAGAACGCAGGCAAGGACAGGGCCAAGGGAUUUCGCCUCUCGUCCUUAACUAAGCUUUCUCAGGUGCGCGGGAACAAUCGGAAGUUCACCUUGCUGCAUGCCCUUGUGGAGCAGAUCAUGUUGCGAGAACCACGUUUGGCCACCUUUUUCCUGGAGCUUGCAGAAUUUGAGACUGUUCCUGGAGCUUCAGUCAAAGGUCUGACAGCAGAGGUGGACGUAGUGAAGAAUGAAUUUCAGAAGAUCGUCCAGUACAGGAAAACAUACAGUAAAAGUAAAAACGAAGUCAAUCAGCAC
rnacentral:lncRNA from 1 species